rnacentral:rRNA from 1 species
AUUGAACGCUGGCGGAAUGCUUUACACAUGCAAGUCGAACGGCAGCACGGACUUCGGUCUGGUGGCGAGUGGCGAACGGGUGAGUAAUGUAUCGGAACGCGCCCAGUCGUGGGGGAUAACGUAGUGAAAAUUACGCUAAUACCGCAUACGAUCUAUGGAUGAAAGCGGGGGAUCGCAAGACCUCGCGCGAUUGGAGCGGCCGAUAUCAGAUUAGGUAGUUGGUGGGGUAAAGGCCCACCAAGCCAACGAUCUGGAGCUGGUCUGAGAGGACGACCAGCCACACUGGAACUGAGACACGGUCCAGACUCCUACGUGAGGCAGCAGUGGGGAAUUUUGGACAAUGGGCGAAAGCCUGAUCCAGCCAUUCCGCGUGCAGGAUGAAGGCCCUCGGGUUGUAAACUGCUUUUGUACAGAACGAAAAGGUUUCUACUAAAACUAGGAGCUCAUGACGGUACUGUAAGAAUAAGCACCGGCUAACUACGUGCCAGCCGCCGCGGUAA